rnacentral:lncRNA from 1 species
AUCCUUUGGAGCCAAAGACUCGAACAGACAUGCGAGACCUCUACCAACUGAAGGUUUCGUGAGCGCACUCCUUUGCCAAGAUCUUGGUGAAUAGUCUUUCACUGUGCAAUUUUAUCUUAGAAAUUGUUUUACGUUUGAUCAUGAUUGUGCUUGGCUGGAUGUUUUUUGUUGGACUUGUGUGUUACAUGGGCACGUUUCCAGAGUUGAUGCCUCCAACUCUGAAGUGGCAGGAGAGGUGGCCUGUUCAGGAGAGCAAAACACAACUGAGGAGGCGGGCUUUAGGUCUUGCUCUGCCACCCAGGCUGGAGUGAGGUGCAAGCAGUCUUCCCAUCUCAGCUUCUUGGGUAGCUGAUCCUCAGGCACAUGCCACCAUGCCUGGCUAAUUUUUUUUUUAUUUUUUUAGAGACAAGGUGUCACUAUGUUGCCCAGGCAGGUCUUGAACUCCAGGCCUCAAGUGGUCCCCCAGCCUUGGCCUCCCAGAGUGCUGGGAUUGCAGGCAUAAACCACCGUGCCUUGCCAGGACCAGCAUUUUUAACGUCCCUUUUGGCAGAUACUGAAACUGGAGUUAACAUU